AGCUUUUACUUUGUGGUGUUAAAGCUCUUCUUUCGCUUCGAAGAUUUGAUCCAACGAUGAUAUGAAACUAGUCGUAGGCUUUUCUUUCUCACGUAUGUGCAAUAAAAACACGUUGAUGUGCAAUAAUUUAAGUUAAAAAAAAAAAAAAAAAAAAAUUAAAAACGACAUCGUUUUUUUUUCCUCCUCUUUGAGNGUUCCUCUUCCUUCUUCAUCCUUUCCUCUAUUGCCAGAACUGAAGCUCCAAUUCCAUACCCGAGCCUUCUUUUACGGUAUGCCAACACCCGCAUAAACCAAACGCUAACGCCAAUCUCUUGCAAUUCUUUACUUAAAAUCUUUAUUGGAUUCCUUUGGCC
rnacentral:misc_RNA from 1 species